GUCAACAAUCCCGACUGGGAUUCCAACCCACCGAUCAAUCGACGGGCAAGAGAUCCUGUAGUUGACCAGACUAAGCCAGUUCGACUGGCUACGUUAGAUAGGCUAUCGCACCCUAGGGUGCUUGCCAGCUCUAGGCUCUGAG
rnacentral:sRNA from 14 species